rnacentral:lncRNA from 1 species
AUCAUAUCAUUAUUUGUAUCUGUUAUGGCCUUGUGGAAGUGGAAGGUAGGAGUCAGGGCUGGUGCUGAGCCAGGCGCUGCAAUACACGGAGGGGGGUCGGUGGGGGCCAGGGCCAUCCCCAGGGCUGGGCUGGGGGCCCUGCCUGGGAGGAGAGGCCGUGUCCCAGCGGGGCCUGGCCAGGCUCGGCCUGGCGUCCUGGGGCAGGCAAGGGCCUGGGCUGUGCCCUGGGUUGGUGGGUACCGCUGUGGCUGCUGGGGAUGCUCCCCUCUCACUCACUGCUUUCUGUGCCCAUACAGAAAGAGAGACAGAGGAAGUGCCAACACAGAGGUAACCAGGAAAAUUCUAGAGCAGUAUGGGACUUCCGCACGUCUUCACAG